GAUGAACGCUGGCGGCGUGCCUAAUACAUGCAAGUCGAGCGAACAGACGAGGAGCUUGCUCCUUUGAUGUUAGCGGCGGACGGGUGAGUAACACGUAGGUAACCUACCUAUAGGACUGGGAUAACUUCGGGAAACCGGAGCUAAUACCGGAUAAUAUUUUGAACCGCAUGGUUCGAUAGUGAAAGAUGGUCUUGCUAUCACUUAUAGAUGGACCUGCGCCGUAUUAGCUAGUUGGUAAGGUAACGGCUUACCAAGGCAACGAUACAUAGCCGACCUGAGAGGGUGAUCGGCCACACUGGAACUGAGACACGGUCCAGACUCCUACGGGAGGCAGCAGUAGGGAAUCUUCCGCAAUGGGCGAAAGCCUGACGGAGCAACGCCGCGUGAGUGAUGAAGGUCUUCGGAUCGUAAAACUCUGUUAUUAGGGAAGAACAAACGUGUAAGUAACUGUGCACGUCUUGACGGUACCUAAUCAGAAAGCCACGGCUAACUACGUG
rnacentral:rRNA from 1 species